rnacentral:tRNA from 1 species
GGGCGCGUAGCUCAGCGGGAGAGCACCCCCUUCACACGGGAGGGGUCACAGGUUCAAUCCCUGUCGCGCCCACCA